UGUGUUGUUGUGUAUGUCCAGCUACCCAAUGGGGACUACUGGGAGGAAUGGAGUCCCUAUGGAGAAUGUAGUCGGAGCUGUGGGAGUGGGGUUACCAGGAGAACCAGGAGAUGUGUCAGCCAGAGGACUGACGGAGGGAAUAACUGUGUGGGACCAGACAAGUCCUACAGCUCCUGUAAUAUCCAGGUAAACAACAUGCUAAUUCCCCAAAUCCCCAAAAACGUUCUCUCACAGACUAUUCAUCUUGGUGUAACUCUCUCAGUCUAUUACUGUUGGUGUAACUCUCUCAGUCUAUUACUGUUGGUGUUGCUCUCUCUCAGUCUAUUACUGUUGGUGUUGCUCUCUCUCAGUCUAUUACUGUUGGUGUAGCUCUCUCUCAGUCUAUUACUGUUGGUGUAGCUCUCUCAGUCUAUUACUGUUGGUGUAACUCUCUCAGUCUAUUACUGUUGGUGUAGCUCUCUCUCAGUCUAUUACUGUUGGUGUAGCUCUCUCAGUCUAUUACUGUUGGUGUAGCUCUCUCAGUCUAUUACUGUUGGUGUAACUCUCUCAGUCUAUUACUGUUGGUGUUGCUCUCUCUCAGUCUAUUACUGUUGGUGUUGCUCUCUCUCAGUCUAUUACUGUUGGUGUAACUCUCUUAGUCUAUUACUGUUGGUGUAGCUCUCUCUCAGUCUAUUACUGUUGGUGUUGCUCUCUCUCAGUCUAUUACUGUUGGUGUAACUCUCUUAGUCUAUUACUGUUGGUGUAGCUCUCUCUCAGUCUAUUACUGUUGGUGUUGCUCUCUCUCAGUCUAUUACUGUUGGUGUUGCUCUCUCUCAGUCUAUUACUGUUGGUGUAGCUCUCUCUGUCUAUUACUGUUGGUGUAACUCUCUCAGUCUAUUACUGUUGGUGUAACUCUCUCAGUCUAUUACUGUUGGUGUAACUCUCUCUCAGUCUAUUACUGUUGGUAUAACUCUCUCAGUCUAUUACUGUUGGUGUAGCUCUCUCUCAGUCUAUUACUGUUGGUGUUGCUCUCUCUCAGUCUAUUACUGUUGGUGUAACUCUCUCUCAGUCUAUUACUGUUGGUGUAGCUCUCUCUCAGUCUAUUACUGUUGGUGUAGCUCUCUCUGUCUAUUACUGUUGGUGUAACUCUCUCAGUCUAUUACUGUUGGUGUAGCUCUCUCUCAGUCUAUUACUGUUGGUGUAACUCUCUCUCAGUCUAUUACUGUUGGUGUAGCUCUCUCUGUCUAUUACUGUUGGUGUAACUCUCUCAGUCUAUUACUGUUGGUGUAGCUCUCUCUCAGUCUAUUACUGUUGGUGUAACUCUCUCUCAGUCUAUUACUGUUGGUGUAGCUCUCUCUCAGUGUAUUACUGUUGGUGUAGCUCUCUCUCAGUCUAUUACUGUUGGUGUAGCUCUCUCUCAGUCUAUUACUGUUGGUGUAACUCUCUCUCAGUCUAUUACUCUUGGUGUAGCUCUCUCAGUCUAUUACUGUUGGUGUAGCUCUCUCUGUCUAUUACUGUUGGUGUAACUCUCUCUCAGUCUAUUACUGUUGGUGUAACUCUCUCUCAGUCUAUUACUGUUGGUGUAACUCUCUCUCAGUCUAUUACUGUUGGUGUAGCUCUCUCUGUCUAUUACUGUUGGUGUAACUCUCUCUCAGUCUAUUACUGUUGGUGUAGCUCUCUCUGUCUAUUACUGUUGGUGUAGCUCUCUCUGUCUAUUACUGUUGGUGUAGCUCUCUCUGUCUAUUACUGUUGGUGUAACUCUAUCUCUGUCUAUUACUGUUGGUGUAGCUCUCUCUGUCUAUUACUGUUGGUGUAGCUCUCUCUGUCUAUUACUGUUGGUGUAGCUCUCUCUCAGUCUAUUACUGUUGGUGUAAUUCUCUCAGUCUAUUACUGUUGGUGUAGCUCUCUCUCAGUCUAUUACUGUUGGUGUAGCUCUCUCUCAGUCUAUUACUGUUGGUGUAGCUCUCUCUCAGUCUAUUACUGUUGGUGUAGCUCUCUCAGUCUAUUACUGUUGGUGUAGCUCUCUUUCAGUCUAUUACUGUUGGUGUAAUUCUCUCAGUCUAAUACUGUUGGUGUAGCUCUCUCUCUCUCUCUCAACCCUGUUACUGUCAACCCUGUUACUGUCAACCCUGUUACUGUCAACCCUGUUACGGUCAACCCUGUUACGGUCAACCCUGUUACUGUCAACCCUGUUACUGUCAACCCUGUUACGGUCAACCCUGUUACUGUCAACCCUGUUACUGUCAACCCUGUUACGGUCAACCCUGUUACUGUCAACCCUGUUACUGUCAACCCUGUUACGGUCAACCCUGUUACGGUCAAUCCUGUUACGGUCAACCCUGUUACUGUCAACCCAGUUACUGUCAACCCUGUUACGGUCAACCCUGUUACGGUCAACCCUGGUACGGUCAAC
rnacentral:lncRNA from 1 species